GGCGGGGUAGCUCAGCUGGUUUAGAGCAGCGGAAUCAUAAUCCGCGUGUCGGGGGUUCGAGUCCCUCCCCCGCUACCA
rnacentral:tRNA from 2 species